GCAUACCUGUUCAAUAAUGUGUGAGUGGCCUCUAAUUAUUCUCAACAUCAGAUUGAUAGUAUACAUUGCUAUUUCAUGAAUCAGUACUUUUGUUUUACAAGUGAUUUAAUUUGUCAGUAAACCUGCAUCCAUUCAUGAGUAACAACUGGUGCUUUCUUUUUGGGGCUUGUACGUUACUGUAUCUGUUGUCGGGAGAAUGUGUUGUUUAAUAUGUUUGGCGCAUCAUUCGGACGCAGUGGAUAGGUGUUUCUCUUAAUUGGUAAAGUGUCAUGUUACCAUUGAUAACCUGUUGCGUCUAUUUUCAGUGAGUUUUAGGCGAUACCGUCAUUUUUAUUCAACAGACUGUCAUUUGAGACCAAGUAGUUGUGAAAUGUAUGAUAUUCCCUGUUUGGACAUAUAGGAACUUCUCGCAUUUAAUUUGAUUCAAAAUGCUUUGUCAUGCUUUCUAUAGUAUUUUGCCAUGAUUUCUUUACUUCCAUUAAUUCUUUUUCAAUCUGCUUUGAUAUGUUUUUUCCUUGAGCCGAGGGUCGAUAGGAAACAACCUCUCUACCUCCCAAGGUAGGCGUAUUGUUUGGGUACACUACCCUCCCCAAACCCCGCUUGUGGGAUUACACUGGCUAUGUAGUUGUUGUUGUUGGUUGCAAGUUCCAAUGGCUCGCUCAUCAUCAGCAUCAGCUAGUUAUUUUGUGCAUUUGAGCAUGACUAUUUGACUUAGGCCACAUUUGGAUAUAGGGUUUGCUCAGUUGCCCAAUGUAUGUACUGUACAUACAUACGUAUGUAUGCUUGCGUUCUUCUUGCCAUCUACUUUCAAGACUUCGGUUUCCCUGGAUUAGCCUGGCUGUCCAGAUGGUAUGUUGUCAUCAGCAACUAUAAUUCAAGUUUCAUAGUUUCAUUAAUGAGAUAUCAACCUAGCAAGUUAAAAAUGGAAGACAAUGCUGCAUGCUGGAUGGAAUCUGUACUUCUAUUGUAGACUCAGUUUUCUGAGCGGCUGUAGUUGGUAGAAGACCAAUUUGCUUUUUUAAAGACGUUGCUAUGUUUAAAGCUUAUUUCUGACAGGAAGGUAAGCUGAAUCGUCUUACAGAGGAAGUUGGUUAUUUAAUUCGGGGUUGAACGAAUUAGUUUAUGUCAUGGUUGGGAAGUGGUGAUCUCUUACCAGGGGCACAGUUUAUUUUGUGAACUUCAAAUUCUCAAAUUUCACAUUAAAAAAAACAUAUAGUUCAGUGGUCUUCUUUACUUGGCUUUCUUGAUUUUGCAAGAGAUGCGUGUUGUUAGCUCCAUUUUCGGUUCUUUUAUCCUUUCCCGGCCUGAUCAUACUAUGUUUCUUUUCCAAUUCAUAUGAUGGAAUUUUUCACCUUUCUUUCUCUGUGUUAUUCAGGGUAAAUGUAACUUUUGGACAGAGCGAGGAGAGGACAAUGCUUUCUGGAACGCACACUGUGACAGAUAUAUUUUGUUGUUGCUGUGGGCAGAUUCUUGGCUGGAAAUAUGUAAUCCCUCUUAUUCCUUCUUCUUUGUCCAUAGGCACCAACACGUAGAGCCAAAACGUACAACCAUGGGAACACACACAAAAAGUUCCUUCUAUUAUCUUUUGAGGGAUAUGAAUCGGUGUAUAUAAGCUAAAUUCUCACGGUAUAUGUAACACGCGUAGUUCUAUUAAUGACUAAUAUUUGUGUCUCAUUCACACAGGAGAAAGCCCAUGAGAAAAGCCAGAAGUACAAAGAAGGGAAAUUUGUCCUUGAAAGGUUUAUUACCCUCUCCCCCUUUUAUCUUUUUAUAGUAAAACAAAAGUUGCGUUAAUUCGCAUUAACAUUUUAUCGUAAAAAACAAUAUGCUCGUUUUAAGUGUUUGUAACAUAACAUUUCUAUGCUGUUGAUAAUAUGUGUGGAACAGAGGCAUGAUCAUUGAUGGCGAAGUUGAUUCUGAAUUCUACAUCGAUACUCGUGCAAGCACAAGUGAUGGUGAAGAUACAAUGUAAAUAGUGGGAGCUUAGUGCACCGAUUUGCAGAUACUUGUAUCUUGUAGACUUGGCAAAAGAAUAGUUGUAUCUUAUCUGGAGAUCUCCUCAAGUUUGUGGAUAUAGAAACUAAGUUGCUGCAGAAGUGUUUUUUAUUUAAUAUGGUUGACUAAAGUAAAUGUUUUAUUGGUCUUACAUGUUUUUUGUGCUUCCUUCAUUAUAUUAGUCUGCUCAGCAUGGUUUGUUAUGUUUAUUUAGGUAUGUGCUUGCUUACGCUUUAAGAAAAAAACUAAGUAUGUAUAUUCUCAAAUAGGGAUCAAAUUCCACCCGAUGAUCGAGUUUGGUGUGGCGAGUGUAGUAUCUCAAAAAGGAUGUAAGCUAAAUAUAUAAUUUCACCCAAUCACUCGAUUGAGUUUGGUGCAGGGAGUGUGGUAUCUAAAAGGAAGGCCGUAAACUAAUAUAUAGAUUUACAUAGGGAUCAAAUUCCAUCCGAUCACUCGAUUGAGGUUGGUAUAGCGAGUGUGGAAUCUAAAAAGGAUGCUACUUGGUCUUUCCUUGCGAUUAAAUUCAUUGAAUAGACUUGACCCGAUCACUCGAUUGAGGUUGGUAUAGCGACUGUAGAAUCUAAAAAGGAUGCUACUUGGUCUUUCCUUGCGAUUAAAUUCAUUGAAUAGACUUGACCCGAUCACUCGAUUGAGGUUGGUAUAGCGACUGUAGAAUCUAAAAAGGAUGCUACUUGGUCUUUUCUUUCGAUCAAAUUCAUUGAAUAGACUUGCUUAACGUUCAUAGUUUAUAUCUCUAUGACUCUAUAUGAUUUGCAAUUUGCGAUAUAUAUAAGAGUUCUAUUUUAAAAUGGACGUAAAUUAUUAGUUUCAUUUCCUAACUAUUGACAAUUUUAAAAACACAAUCUAAUUGACAAACUAAAUGUAGAUACACCCUUAAUAUACAACAUGACAUAUCAAAUGGUCUCAAACUCUUGUGCAAACAUGAGACUCUUAAUAAAAAAAAUUGAGAGAAGUGUUAAAAACAUUCUAAACUUGACGAGAAUUUAAGAGUGUAUUUCACUCAUGUGUUGAUUAACUGAAGUAAAGGAUAUCUUUCAAAGUCUAUCACAAGCAUGAAAGUCUUAACAAAAGAACCAAGAGAAGUUGAAAACAUAACUUGGCAAUUUUUUUUUGAAGGUUGUGAAUAGUUCUGAAACAAAUAAGCACAGUUUGCUAAGAUAAUGGAUACUAUAUAUCUACUAUGGGGUUGAGUGUGUUGGGCACCAUCCAGAUCCUUUCACCAAACCAAACGAACCUCCUUUCCUUCUUCCAAAUCCGAAUUUACAAUAUGCAGAUUUUCCAAUAUUGAUUGCAAUUAGCGAUUCGUUUAUCUGCGGUUUGCUUUUUGCUAUUCCAAUUUUGUUAACGAAGAAGAAGAAGAAGAAGUAAAUCCGAACACAAUGGGAGAACGCAAGUCUUCAUCUAAGAAAAAAUCUUCCAGAAAGAAGAGGCUCAAAGUUUCCUCUAAAGGUAUCUUUUUCAACUCUCCUUUUCGAUGCUUUCCAUUUAUUCGCAUAAUAACAUUCGUUCGCUUGCUCAGUAUAAUGUAUAAUGUUCCUGUAUGGUGUGUUGCUUUCUUUCUAUUUCGUUUUGAAUUAUUGUGUGUAGUUAUGUAUUUUAGGGUUUAUCUUCAUCUUAAACUAAAGUUAUUGAACUUUGUUUUGUAUCAAAUAAAAUCACUCAACUUAAGGUUUUUAUUUCUAAUCUCCUUUAAUUUGCUUUUUAAGGGCUUAUGUUUUUUCUGUUUACUGAAUUAAUUUUUGUGAUGUUAUGGAAUAUUUGUUAAUGUCCUUUUGUAGUGAUGCUAAUAGUUCCCUUUUUACUGGUGGUGGAAAUAGGGAAGAUAGUUAAAACUAAUGGUUAGUUAUCUGCUAUGUUCCAAAAAUGUUAGUUACACCCGUGUUGGAUCCUCCUAAAAUGCACUACUUUUGGAGGAUAGAACACAUACCCGGCGACAUUUUUGAAGAGUCCGAACAACAUAAGUUAUAUGUACCCUCUGUUGAACAUAAGUCCAAGCAACAUAUGUAAUUAGCUGGUUUAACUUUUGGGUCUUUUCAUGUGUGCCAUCAGGGGAUGUUAUUUUGGGGAUAAAAAUUAAGAUAGCCGUUCUAUUAGCUAAAAAUUAAAAUGAAACUAUGUUCCAAGAACAAGGGUCAAAAAGUAAUUCAGAAGGCUGGUUAUUUUGGGUACAAUACUUGUAUGAGUUGACAUUACUGAACUGGGAGAAUAUAAGUCCUACUCCUUCCAGUUUGUUUAGAAGGGAUUAUUUUCAUGUAAAUAUUCAUAUACAAAUCUGUAACAUGAUAAGGCUUCAUGUGAUAUAGCUCAUGAUCGCUCGUGGGAGUGUUAAGCACGUUGCAUAGUCAUUUGAAUCGCUAUAGUUAGAGUUCCAUGAAUCAUUUAUUGUUCUUUGUAUUUUUUUUGUUUUCUGCUCUAUCCGUAAAAUAACCUUAGUGGAGCAAAUCUAGAGUUAUUUAUCAAAAGAAACAAUUAUCUGCACCUGUUAAUACUUGGUAUCUUUUAGAAGCCACCAUGGAAAAACAGAUAUCUAAGAUCUUGUAUUAAAUAUAUUCUUUUUUGUUUCAAUUUGUAAUUCCUUAACUGACACUCAGAAGAAAGAAUUAUGAAAGACUUUAUAAUGCUUGAUCAUGCCAGCACACUUUGUACACUCUUUAUUGAAUAUAUUUAAUACCCAAAUAUUCAUGGAGAUGUUUUCAUGAGAAAUUGCAUUAUAUUUUUAAUUAACAUUAGGCAUGCUUUCGUAGAACAAUGUAAGGUUACCUCCUGUUUUCUUAUCAAUACAUUCUCAUCUUGUCACUGGCAAUUCCAAUUUAUCAUCCUUCAUUAUACAUCUUCAUGUGUUGUGUGGUUAGAUACGCAAGAUAAAAAGCAGAAGAAACAAAUCCAAGAAGUUUUCCAGUUCCGAGGAUGACUCGUCAUCUUCUGCUUCCUCUGAUUAUUCUAGCAGUCCACAGUCUUUGUCCUCUGAUUCAGAGGUUGAUUAUAGUAUGAAAAAACAUAGGCACUCACGUGAUAUGAAACGCGUGAAGAAAAGAACUUGGAGAAGAUAUUCAAGCCGAGAUGUCAGUGAUAGUUCACCCCCUGUAAAGAAAAGAAAACGGUCAAAUAGAAAGAGUCUUGAUUAUGGGAGAAAAGUGCAGAAGAAGCGAAAGAGACACGCUAGUAUUAGCUCCACGAACAGUGACUCAAGAAGUUGUUCUAGUUGCCGACGUUAAAAUAGUAUUAGCUCCAGAGGUAGAGAUUCUAAGAGCUUUUCCACUUGCCAAGAUGCAACUAAUAGUGGUAAAUAGGAAGCGAUAACAAAAUUGAGUUUAAUUAAAAUACAUUUGCAUAUACUACUUAAGGUUCCAAAUAUUUAUAGUUUUAACAAAUUAAUCUUGUCUUAAAAUACCUGACAUCUGAAGAUUUUUUUUUAUUAUAUCUAGGUUUUAAAUUUUCUAAUUUAAUUAGUAAGUAUUAUUACUGAUUAAAGAGUAAAUAAAUAAAAAGUAAUAUAAACAAGUAUACUUAUGAUUAAAAAUAUUACUAUAAAUACUUUUGCAAAGCGAUGUCCAAAUAAAAUAGGCAUAAUAUAUAAAUAUAUCUUUUAAUUUGUCUUCCAUACUAAGACGAAUGUAUCUAUUUGUUUAAUUUAUAUAAGUUUAAGAGUCUAUUUGUACAUAUUUAAAAUUGAAGGGCAUAACUAUUUGCUUAAGCUAAAUUAAAAGCACGUUUAUGUAUUAUGCAAUAAAAUAUUGAUAGCUCGUUUUUAUACAUUUAAACAGCACUAAAAGAUAGGAUUAAGUGACUUUGAAGUUAACAAAACAAAAUCUGCGCCACAUGUAAUAAUAAGUCGUUUUCUACUUUGUUGUUUCUGGAAUUUCUUAAGACCCCUCAAUAAACCUUGUUCUUUUCAUCUUUUCUUUAAGAAGGGUUUCAGUUUUGGGAAAUUGGGGCUGAGCUGCAGUUUGUGUGAAGUGAAAAAUGGGGAGAGUAUUUUUGGUGGAUCUUGAAGGCAAAACCUACAAUUGCAAAUUCUGCAAAACCCAACUUGCCCGUGCUGAUCAACUUAUUUCCAAGGUACAAUUUUUUCCCCUUAUUUUUAUUUUUUAUUCUUUGGUUGAAUGACUAGAUCUAGCUAUGUAAAAUCCUGAUCUUUCAUUUGACAUGGUUAUAUAUCACUUCUCGGUACAAGUAAAAAUCUCACCUUUUUUAUAGGUAGUAAAUAAGUAAUUUUUGUGUUGUUUAGUGCAAAUGCAAUGCACUUGUUAAUUCAGAAGUUUCAAAUUUUACGAAUUCGUCAAUCCUCAUCAUGAAUUUGAAUUGACCAUUAGGAAAAUGGUUUAUUGAGUUAGGGAUGGAAGAGUGUGCAGAUUUUAUUUGUCUCUAAAAAAAUGUUGUUGAUAAGAUCCAGAAAUGAUUGACUACUUCACGAGAGAUAGCAGUGACGUGUGAAGACGUUUGGAAGCUCUCAAGCAUGUUGGAUCAUGUCGAUUUUAUGUAUAUUCAUAGAUGUUUGAACAAAAUAGUUCAUAGUUUAGCUAGAUUUUCUAUUUCUUUGUUGAAGGAGAUCUCUUGGGAGAGGUUUUUCCCAAGUUGGAUCGUGCAUGAUGCUAAGGGUACAUUUGAAUUUCGUAGUUUUUGAUGCAAUAAUACAAAUUGUUUAGUUUCGGUGAAAAAGUUCAUGAAUCUGACAAGUUUUAUGUUGGUUGCCAAGCAUACAUUAACCCUCCUCUUUGUUUAAGCGUGGGACUCAUUAAACACGUUCUUUUAAAUAAGAACUCAAUUGUAGAUUCUUCUUCGUUGCGUGUGCUAAAAGCAAAGUUGCAUUUGGGAUUUGGAGGUUUGUGGUGCAACAUUGCUUUGAACAUAGACAUCUUGCUAUUUAAACAGGGAAGGUUGUCUUCUCUUUUAGAGGAAAGAAAAGAUUUUGGGGAUAGAAAGAAGGCAACAAAAAUAAUUUAAAAAAUCAAACAAGGUUAAAUUAAACAAUAAAGUCUAAAAGAAUCACUACUAGGAAAAAAGAGGAGAAUAGGUGAAAUGCCUAACUCCUUAAUUGCCCAGUGAAGCAAACAAAAUAGUUAAAGUACUGUAGAGGGCUGGAAUCGAACUCACGCAACCUAGAAGGAAUGUCCGGAGUUUUGCCAGUGGCAUCAUGUAUUAUUUUAUUCAAUGAGUGGCACUUUGGCACCCCCUCGGCCCUUAGUAGAUCCUCCCCUGGUUAAAAGCAACUCCUUUUUUCACUCGUAAGUAAAAUAUAUGCAUAAGAAUUGUCUAGCACCAUUAGGUGAUGUAAGUUGGAAUUCUUGAAGCAAGUAAAAUUAAUUGGAACUGAAGAAGUUUCUUUUAUCUCAUUGUGUAUGAACUGUCAGUUUACUUUCUUUGUCGUGGUAUAUUGCAUGAGAAAAUUGUGUUUCGUCUUUGCUGCAUAAAUUGCAUUUCAUUUUGCAAUGGUUAACUAUGUCUGACAAAAUCUCCUUUAUGCUAUUUAUUCAGGCUUUUCAUUGCAGCAGUGGAAGAGCAUACCUGUUCAAUAAAGUGUGAGUGGCCUCUAACGUCAUAUUGAUAGUAUACAUUGCUAUUUCAUGAAUCUGGAUUUUUGUUUUACAAGUGAUUUAAUUUGUUGAUAAACCUGCAUCCAUUCGUGAGUGACAACUGGUGCUUUCUUUUUGGGGGUUGUACGAUACUGUAUCUGUUGUCGGGAGAAAGUGCUGUUUAAUAUGUUUGGCACAUCAUUCGGACGCAGUUGAUAGGCGUUUCUCCUAAUUGGUUAAGUGUUACAUCACCAUUAACAACCUGUUGCGUCUAUUUUCAGUGAAUUAUAGGCAAUACGGUCAUUUUUAUUCAACAGAAUGCCAUUUGUGACCAAGUAUUUGUGGAAUGAAUGAUAUUGCCUGUCCGGACAUUUUUUUUUUGAAAUGGUAGAGGUUUUAUUAAUAAUAGUACCAAGAUGGUACAAAAAGUACAAGCCACCAAAAAGACAAGUAGCAACCCUUCUUUGUUCUUAUUAUUAUUCCUUUAAAUUUCGGGGGGUGGGGGGGUUAUAGAUAUAAAUGGCUAUUGCAAAGAAAUGCACUUGAGGGCUGAGGCAUGUAGGAACUUCUCACAUUUGAUUCAAAAUACUUUGUCAUGCUUUCUAUAGUAUUUUGCCAUGAUUUCUUUUCUUCCGUUAUUUCUUUUUCAAUCUUCUUUGAUAUGUUUAUCCUUGAGCCGAGGGUCUAUAGGAAACAACCUCUCUACCUCCAAAGGUAGGCGUAUGGUUUGGGCACACUCUACCCUCCCCAGACCCCGCCUAUUGGAUUACAUUGGGUAAGUAGUUGUUGUUAAUUGCAAGUUCCAAUGGCUUGCUCAACAUCAGCAUCAGCUAGAUAUUAUGUGCAUUUGAGCAUAACUGUUUGACUUAGGCCACAUUUGGAUAUAGAGUUUGCUCAAUUGUCCGAGGUACGUGUACGUACAUACAUAUGUAUGUAUGCUUGAAUUCUUCUUGCCCAUCUACUUUCAAGAUUUUGGUUUCCCUGGAUUAGCCUGGCUGCCCAGAUUGUAUGUUGUCAUCAGUAACUAUAAUUCAAAUUUUCAUAGUUUCAUUAGUGAGUUAUCGACCUAGCAAGUCAAAACAGAAGACAAUGCUGCAGGCUGGAUGGAAUCUGUACUUUUGCAUGGUUGCUUGGUGUAGACUGGAGUUUUCUGAGCGGCUGUAGUUGGUAGAAGACCACUUUCCUUUUUUAAAGAUGUUGCUAUGUUUAAAGCUUAUUUUCUGACAGGAAGCUAUGCUGAAUCAUCUUACUGCGGAAGCUUGUUUUUUAAUUAGGGGUUGAAUGGAUUAGUUUAUGUCAUGGUUGUUAAGUGGUGAUCUCUUACCAGGAGCACAAUCUAGUUCAGUGGUCUUCUUUACUUGGCUUUCUUGAUUUGUGCAAGAGAUGUGUGUUUUUAGCUCCAUUUUCUGUUCUUUUAUCCUUCCUCGGCCUGAUCAGAUUAUGUUUCUUUUCCAAUUCAUUAGAUGGAAUUUUUCACCUUUCUUUCUUUGUGUUAUUUAGGGUAAAUAUAUAUUUUGGACAGACCGAGGAGAGGACGUUGCUUUCUGGAACGCACACUGUGACGGAUAUAUUUUGUCGUCGCUGUGGGCAGAUUCUUGGCUGGAAAUAUGUAAUUCCUCUCAUCCCCUCUUCUUUUUCCAUACGCACCAACACGUAGAGCCAAAAAAUACAACUAUGGGAACACACACACACACACAAAAAGUUCCUUUUAUUGUCUUUUGGGGGAUAUGAAUCGGUGUAUAUAAGUUAAACUAACACAGUAUAUGUAACAUGCGUAGUUCUAUUAACGACUAAUAUUUGUGUCUCGUUUACACAGGAGAAAUCCCAUGAGGAAAGCCAGAAGUACAAAGAAGGGAAAUUUGUCCUUGAAAGGUUUUAUUUCUCUCUCCCCCUCUUUAUCUUUUUAUAGUAAAAAAAAAAUUCGCAUUACAUUUUAUCGGAAAACAACAAUAUGCUCAUUUUAAGUGUUCCUAAUAUAACAUUUCUAUGUUGAUAAUGUGUGUUGAACAGAGUCAGGAUCAUUGAUGAUGAAGAUGAUUCUGAAUUCUACAUUGAUACUCGUUCAAGCACAAGUGAUGAUGAAGAUACAAUGUAAAUAGUGGGAGCUUAGUGCACCGAUUUGCAGAUACUUGUAUCUUGUAGACUUAGCAAAAGAAUAGUUGUAUCUUGUCUGAAAAUCUCUCUCAAGUUUGUGGAUGUAGAAACUAAGUUGCUGCCGAAGUGUUUUUUAAUCAAUAUAUGCUCGACUUAAGUUAAUGCUUUAGUGGUCUUGCAUGUUUUUUGUGCUUCAUUAUAUUAUUCUGCUCAGCAUGGUUUGUUAUGCUUUCUCUAUUAUUUGUGAUGGUUUAUUUAGGAAUGUAAUUGCUUAUGCUUUAAGAAAAAAAAUCAAAUAUAUAUAUUCAAAUAGGGAUCAAAUCUCACCCAAUCACUCGAUUGAGUUUGGUGUAGCAAGUGUCGUAUCUCAAGAAGGAUGUAAACUAUAUAUACUAGCUUCACGGCAUGUGCGGUGUACGUGUGUAGUGUAUCAUAUCAUAUACUGUAUAUUGUAAAAUAGAAUUAAUAUUACUAAAUUAAAGCUUUUUAGGAAAUAAUUAUAAUUUAAAGAAUAUAGGACAAGUGAUUAUAAAUGAUUAAUACUAUCAUAGAGUUAUUUAUUGUUUAGAUCAAAAUGACAAGAUAUCAUUGAAACUUUUCAAAAUACAUUCAAAGUUUAAAUUUUGGUUUAGUAAAUACUCCCUCCGUCCCAUUUUAUAUGUCAUCACUUUUUAGAAAUAGUUGGUUCAUAAUACUUGUCAUUUCAUAAAAUUAAUGCAUAAAUUACCAUAUUGUUCCUUUUUAACCCUUGUGAGUUAAUUAGCCUUGAAAAUAUACAUUUGACCAACUUAGAAAAGCUAAGUAAAUGAUUCAUGUUCAAUAGUUAAAUUAAUUAAUCAAAAUAAAUUAAUUUAUAUUCAUUGAUUGAAAACAUGAGUUCCAAAAAAAAUUAAAUAAGAGUAGAAGGAUAAAGUUACAUUAUUUCUUAAUGCAAGUGCAAAGUAAAAAUGUAACAUAUAAAAUGAGACUCAAGAAAUACAUAUAUAAGCAUUGACACCUCUUCACACAAGUUAAAUAUGUAUUUUUCCACUUUCAAUACAUUAGUUUAUUUAAUUGUAUUUGAUAUGGACCCCAUAAUUUUCUUUCAAUUUUCAAUUAAACUAUACCCUCUCUCUCCUCUCUGGUUUUAAUUGCAAUUUUAAAGGACAAUCUAUACCCCCACAAUCCACAUGUCAACUUGUUAAUAGAUCCUCACACAAAUUUUAUUGGUGGUAUCUUGCUCAAAAUAAAUUUUUCAACAUGAGACUCUUUAUAAAAGAAUUUAUACAACAUAAAAUAUGAUCUCAAUUUUUUGUGGCGAGCAUAAGACCCUUUAUAAAAGAACAGAGAAGUGUUGAAAAACACUCUAAAUUUGGUGAAAAUUUAGAAUUAAUCUCACUCAUGUUACAAGACUGGAGAGCGUAUUUACAUGUAUUACUAAAGUAAAGAUAUUUUUAAGGUUGUUGAAACAAUAUGAUCGAGUUUAGGGGGUAUUGAGAAGUAAUAAGUACAUACAUAUUACGGUAAAAUACAAGUUAGAGAUAAGCAAGCAGGUGCAGCUUGCUAUGAUAAUGGAUACAAUAUAUCUAUGGGUUUGAGUGUGUUGCCGGAUCCGAAUUCACAAUUAUCGAUUCGUUCAUCUGCGGUUUGCUUUUCGCUAUUCCAAUUUUGUUUACAAAGAAGAAGAAGAAAUGAAUCCGAACACAAUGGGAGAACGGAAGUCUUCAUCUAAGAAAACAUCUUCCAAAAAGAAGAGGCUCAAAGUUUCCUCUAAGGUAUCUUUUUUAGCUCUCCAUUUCGAUGUUUUCCAUUCAUUUACCUAAUAACAUUCGUUUCGCUUUCUCAGUAUUAUGUAUAAUGUUCCUGUAUGCUGUGUUGAUCUCUUUCUAUUUCGUUAUGAAUUUCUGUGUAUAGUUAUGUAUUUUAGGGUUUAUGUAGAAUUUAUUGAACUUUGUUUUGUAUCAAAUAAAAUCACGGUUUUUAUUUUCAAUAAUCUUAAAAGGUUAUUGAAUUAUGAGAAUUCUCCUUUAAUUUGAUUUUUAAGGGCUUUAUGUUUUUUCCUGUUUACUGAAUUAAUUUUUGUCAUGUUAUGGAAUAUUUGUAAAUGUUUUCCUUUUGUAGUGAUGCUAAUAGUUCCCUUUCUACUGGUGGUGGAAAUAUGGAAGAGAAUUAAAAAUAAUGGUUAGUAAUCUGCUAUGUUGCUCGGACUCUCCAAAAAUGUUGUUGAAUCUGUGUUGGAUCUUCCCAUAAUGCACUACUUUUGGGGGAUACGACACACACGACAACAUUUUUAAGGAGUCUGAACAACAUAAGCUAUCUGUACCCUCUGUUGAACCUAAGUCCAAGCAACAUAUGUAAUUAGCUGGUUUAACUUUUGGGUCUUUUCAUGUGUGUAUCAUUAGGGGAUGAUUUUUGGGGGAUAAAAAUUAAGCUAGCUGUUCUUUUAGCUAAAAAUUAAAAUGAAACUGUUUUCCAAGAACAAGGGUCAAAAAGUAGUUCAAAAGGCUGGUUAUUUUGGGUACAAUACUUAUAUGAGUUGACAUAACUGAACUGGGAGAAUAUAAGUCCUACUCCUUCCAGUUUGUUUAGAAGGGAUUAUUUUUCAUGUAAAUAUUCAUAUACAAAUCUGUAAUAUGGUAAGGCUUCAUGUGGUAUAGCUCAUGAUCGCUCGUGGGAGUGUUAAGUCACAUUGCAUAGUCAUUUGAAUUGUUAUAGUUAGAGUUCCAUGAAUCGUUUAUUGUUCUUUGUAUUUUUUUUGUUUUCUGCUCUAUCCGCAAAAUAAACUUAGUGGAGCAAAUCUAGAGUUAUUUAUCCAAAAAAACAAUUAUCUGCACCUGUUAAUACUUGGUAUCUUUUAGAAGCCACCAUGGAAAAAAGGAUAUCUAAGAUCUUGUAUUAAAUACAUUCUCUUUUGUUUCAAUUUGUAAUUCGUUAACUGACACUCAGAAGAAAGAAUUGUGGAAGACUUUAUAAUGCUUGAUCAUGCCAGCACACUUUGUACACUAUUUAUUGCAUUAUAUUUUUAAUUAAUAUUAGGCAUGCUUUCUGUAGAACAAUGUAAGGUUACCUCCUGUUUUCUUAUGAAUUCCAAUUUAUUAUCCUUCAUUAUACAUCUUCAUGUGUUGUGUGGUUAGAUACGGAAGAGAAAAAGCAGAAGAAACAAAUCCAAGAAGUUAUCCAGUUCUGAGGAUGACUCGUCAUCUUCUGCUUCCUCUGAUUAUUCUAGCAGUCCACAGUCUUUGUCCUCCGAUUCAGAGGUUGAUUAUAGUAUGAAAAAACGUAGGCACUCACGUGAUAUAAAACACGUGAAGAAAAGAACUUGGAGAAAAUCUUCAAGCCGAGAUGUCAGUGAGGGUUCACCCCCUGUAAAGAAAAGAAAACGGUCAAAUAGAAAGAGUCUUGAUUAUGGGAGAAAAGUGCAGAAGAAGAAGCGAAAGAGACACACUAGUAUUAGCUCCACGAACAGUGACUCAAGAUGUUGUUCUAGGAAAAUAGUAUUAGCUCCAAAGGUAGAGAUUUUAAGAGCUUUUCCACUUGCCAAGAUACAACUAAUAGUGGUAAAUAGGAAGCGAUAACGAAAUUGAGUUUGAUUAAAAGACAUUUGCAUAUACUACUUAAGGUUCCAAAUAUUUAUAGUUUUAACAAAUUAAUCUUGUCUUAAAAUACCUGACGUCUGAAGAAUUUGUUUUAUUAUAUCUAAAUUUUAAAUUUUCUAAUUUAAUUAGUAAAGUAUUAUUACUGAUUAAAGAGAAAUAAUAAAAAGUAAUAUAAACAAGUAUACUUAUGAUUAAAAAUAUUAUUAUAAAUACUUUUGCAAAGCGAUGUCUAAAUAAAAUAGGCAUAAUAUAUAAAUAUAUCUUUUAAUUUGUCUUCCAUACUAAGACGAAUGUAUCUAUUUGUUUAAUUUAUAUAAGUUUUAGAGUCGAUUUAUACAUAUUUAAAAUUGAAGGGCAUAAAUAUUUGCUUAAGCUAAAUUAAAAACACAUUUAUGUAUUAUAUAUAUAUAUAUAUAUAUAUUAUUAUUAUUAUCAUAUAUUACUAUAAGCAUGAACAAAAAAAGUUGAGAAAAAAUUUAAAAAAGUCUAUACCUAAAUUGCUAAACUUUUCCUCUUCUCAUAAUUUUUUCCUUUGAUAUAAUUUAUGUGGAUAAAGUAUUAUCCUUUAUUAUAAAUAACGAAAUUUAAUAAUUUGAAGGGUGAAAAUCUGCAAAAUGGAGACACACACAUUGAUAAUGUCCUCUUGAUUAUAUUAAAGAAUGACUCUAGCUUCACAAAUUUAAAUUCAUUGAUGCUUAAUUACGUGAUAGGAACUUUAGUUAUUUUUUUUACAUAGUUUGCUAACUUUCUUUUUCCUAUUCUUCAUUUAUUUACUAUUAUUUUCUAAUUACUUAUUCAACUUUUAUACUCUUAAUAUUCAUAACUCUCAUCUUUUCAUAUUCAUAACCUCUAAAUAUUUAAACUAACACUUUAAGAUAUCUUUUGAUAUUCCUUCUAUUCUAUCUAUAUAAAUUCAACUUCUUUAUCUCAUGAAAUCCCUACCAAGUUUAUUAGACUAUUAUUAUUUUUAUUCUAUAGUUAAAGUAGAUGAAGAAAACUCUUGAAUUGUGAUAGGAUAUGGAAGGAAUCGAUAAGAACUCAGAGAGUUAAGUACUAAUUUUGUACUUAUUUUUUCAUCUAUAUAUGUAUCAGUCUUAUAAGAAUAAUGUCUACCUUGUAUUUUUUCUUAAAUCUGUUUCUUUUUGUCUUUUUUUUUUUCUCUAUUAGACUUCUUAAUUUAGUUUUCUAUGAAUGUUUUAUUGUCGUAAGUCUUUAUACUUAUUUUGUAAUUGUUGCAUUUUAUUGUUCAUUACAAUUUACAUAUAUAUAUUUUCAUGAAAUUUUAGUCAUUCUAACGUAUCUAUAAAAAUUCACAUGAAACACACGUGCUCAGCACGUGCUCAGAAACUAGUUAGUUAUAAAAAAGUUAAGACCGUUAAAAAUCUACACCACAACAACAUAAAUAUUUUUUUUUAGAGACAAUCUGAGGUCAAAUGUUCACCACUUUUCGUCAUUGUUACUUUGUUACUCUAACAAAAUUUAUAGAAGGAGACAACUAAAUUUGAAACAACAGCAAAAUAAUAUUGUUGACCCUUUUAGAAAUUCAUUCUUCAUUAAACUGCUGCUCUAAUUUUCUAGCAACCAUACAACUUCAGCUAUUUAAACCGUAUAUUAUUUUCUGUUUUCAAAGCAUUUAGUUAUUUUCCGUAUUAAAUUAAAUAUUUUCUGUUUUCAAAGCAUUUAGUUAGUUUCCCGUAUUAAAUUAAAUAUUUUCACUUUUCUAAUCAUUUAAUAGACUCUUUUGUUUUGGAAUAUGAAUAGUUAUUUUCAUUUUCUAUAUAUGUAUUGUAAAUUAAUUAUCAUUUUUUACUUCUAAUCUUUUUUAUAGUUUUCUCUUGUAUUUGCUUAGCCUUUGUGUUUGCUAAUUACUAAUUUUUAUUUAUUUUUCUUUGUUUCAGAUAUUAUCUUGCAAUUGUGAACUCUUCCCUUCUUCAUCGCAUCAUCAGCUACAUAAUAGAUAUGAUAGUCAUAUCAUUGGAGUUAUGCCUAGUCAUGAAGAAGGUAAACAUACAUUAGACCAUUUCACUAGAAAUCUUUGUAGUUUGUUAAGAUGUGUCUCAUAAGGAAAUAUAGAGAACUUGUAUUGUUUGAGAUCCAUAAAUUAGUAGUAAAUACUAGAAUGAAAUGAGUCCAAAUAGAGUGAAAUAAAUAGUGAGAAUGCAUAUGCCGACUCUAAGAAGCAUGUAAUUGAGGUAUGGUUGUAAUGGGAUUAAAACGAGUAAUAGAAGUAGAUGGAUCGUUGUAGCCGAUAAGUAACUGCUAACAAACUGAUAUACAAACAUUAUGAGUUUUGUCAUCUAUACUAUACUGUUACAUGCUAUAGGGUUUUGACCAAAUGAUAGCAGAAGCUUUCACUAGAAAACAAAGUAAAGCUUAAUGUUGACCAAACAACAUCAUCUGAACUUACGUGCUUGGGUCCAGUAAUCUCGAAUUGGGCUUUGGGCUGUCAUCACAUAUAUACAUAGCAUAUGCAUAAUCAUAAACAAGGAUUGUGCCAUUGUCUUUAGAAAAUUGCACCACUUUAGUCACCCUGAUGCUGUCAAAUCAGUUGGAUUAUUUCAACCAUUUGUAUUAAGUUCUAGCUUGUUUGUGAAUAUGGAUUGAUUAUGUUAUUUCGUAAUACUAUUAUAUUAAACAUUUUAGUUAAUAUUCUCAUAUAAAAUUUACACAUGAAGGAUUCAUAAUCUUGAAUCAAACAAAGAAAGUUGUACAUGCAAUAAUCUAUUACAAAUAAAUAUGAUUUUUUUUCAAGUGUACCCCGUGAAAUUGACAACGAUACAUUAUCCAUCUUAAAGAAGACAUAAGUUAAUCAAUAUUUCUACACUAUGAAAUACAAUUAUUAUUCGGAAACAACGUCUUGAUACGUAUGUGGAUAUAAGGAGGAGACUAUAGUUUGUUAAAAAUAAGACACAAACUUUAAGAUAUGAAACAUUUACAAACAUAAUCAAUGUUACUUAUGUUUUACCUAUAAAUUAUAUGUUAUUGAAAUAUUAAAAAAAUAAGGAAAGUGCCACACUGAGUAUAAGAUAUAUGAGAACUACAUAAGAAAAAUGUUACACCAAUUCAAUUGACUGUUUAUAGCUACAAACAAUUACCCUUUCCUAAAUUUAGUCACUUAUUACUUACAUGUUUUAGCAUCAUCUAUAUCAUUUUUAAAAAUUGUACUAAUUAACAUGGGACACACGUGCAACGCACGUGUCCAGAAACUAGUGCAAUAAAAUAUUGAUAGCUCGUUUUUAUACAUUUAAACAGCACUAAAAGAUAGGAUUAGGUGGCUUUGAAGUUAGCAAAACAAAUCUGCACCACAUGUAAUAAUAAGUCGUUUUCUACUUUGUUGUUUCUGGAAUUUGACACUUCACUUCUGUGGGCUAAAUUCUAAAAUCUUAAGACCCCUCAAUAAACCUUGUCUUUUCAUCUUUUCUUUAAAAAGGGUUUCAGUUUUGGGAAAUUGGGGCUGAGCUGCAGUUUGUGUGAAGUGAAAAAUGGGGAGAGUAUUUUUGGUGGAUCUUGAAGGCAAACCUACAAUUGCAAAUUCUGCAAAACCCAACUUGCCCGUGUUGAUCAACUUAUUUCCAAGGUACGAUUUUUUAUUUUUUAUUUUUAUUUUUUGGUUGAAUGACUAGAUCUAGCUAUGUAAAAUCCUGAUCUUUCAUUUGACAUGGUUAUAUAUCACUUCUCGGUACAAGUAAAAAUCUCACCUUUUUUAUAGGUUGUAAAUAAGUAAUUUUUGUGUUGUUUAGUGCAAAUGUAAUGCUUUUCUUGUUAAUUCAGAAGUUUCAAAUUUUACGAAUUCAUCAAUCCUCAUCAUGAAUUUGAAUUGACCAUUAGGAAAAUGGUUUAUUGAGUUAGGGAUGGAAGAGUGUGCAGAUUUUAUUCGUCUCUAAAAAAAUGUUGUUGAUAAGAUCCAGAAAUGGGUGACUACUUCAUGAGAGAUAGCAGUGACGUGUGAAGACGUUUGGAAGCUCUCAAGCAUGUUGGAUCAUGUCGAUUUUAUGUAUAUUCAUAGAUGUUUGAACAAAAUAGUUCAUAGUUUAGCUAGAUUUUCUAUUUCUUUGUUGAAGGAGAUCUCUUGGGAGAGGUUUUUCCAGAGUUGGAUCAUGCAUGAUGCUAAGGGUACAUUUGAAUUUCGUAGCUGUUGAUGCAAUAAUACAAAGUGUUUAGUUUCGGUGAAAAAGUUCAUGAAUUUGACAAGUUUAAUGUUGGUUGCCAAGCAUAGAUUAACCCUCCUCCUUUGUUUAAGUGUGGGACUUAUUAAACACGUCGUUUUAAAUAAGAACUCAAUUGUAGAUUCUUCUUCAUUGCGUGUGCUAAAAGCAAAGUUGCAUUUGGGAUUUGGAGGUUUGGGGUGCAACAUUGCUUUGAACAUAGACAUCUUGCUAUUUAAACAGGGAAGGCUGUCUUCUCUUUUAGAGGAAAGAAAAGAUUUUGGGGAUAGAAAGAAGGCAACAAAAAUAAUUAAAAAAAUCAAACAAGGUUAAAUUCAACAAUAAAGUCUAAAAGAAUCACUACUAAGAAAAAGGAGGAGAAUAGGUGAAAUGCCUAGCUCCUUAAUUGCCCAGUGAAGCAAACAAAAUAGUUAAAGUACUGUAGAGGGCUGGAAUCGAACUCACGCAACCUAGAAGGAAUUUCCGGAGUUUUGCCAGUGGCGUCAUGUAUUAUUUUAUUCAAUGAGUGGCACGUUAACUAUUUAUUGUAAAUUUUCUUUCUAUAUAUAUAUAUAUAUAUAUAUACUUAUAUGUACCAAGUUUCGGGUGAGGCUUUUUGGUGACGUGGCACCCCCUCGGCAUGGGCGGAUCUACAUGGAUCCAAGGGGGUUCAUCCGAACCCCCUUCGUUGGAAAAAUUACACGGUAUAUAUAGGAUCAAUUUUUUGAUUUAUAUGUAUAUACCAAGUGAUGAACCCCCUAAAUAUAAGCUAAGGUCAUGGCUCAGUGGUGAAGGGGGUUCAAGAAUUCACAAUAUAAGUGUUGGGUCGCGGGUUCGACUCCCUGUAACAACGUUUUUCCCCAUAUUUUUGAGAUUUAUACUAUUUUAUUAGAUAUUAAAAAAUAAAUUUAUUUUCCAUUUUUAUAAAAUUAAGUAAAACUUAUAACGUUGUUUUCAUAAUUAAAAUUAAAAAUACAUUCUCCCAUUCUCAUUUUAAGUCAAACGUUUAAUUUAUAUUUGAUUAAGGAAUAAAAUAAUUAUAAGUAAGAUUAAACAAAUAAGAGUAAUCAUUUAAAAUUUAUAAAUAAAUACAAUUGUCGCGAACGCGAAUUUUAUUGCUACAAUAUGAUUGGAUUUAGAAGUAUUCCUUAGUUCGAACUCACGCAACCUAGAAGGAAUGUCCGGAGUUUUGCCAGUGGCAUCAUGUAUUAUUUUAUUCAAUGAGUGGCACUUUGGCACCCCCUCGGCCCUUAGUAGAUCCUCCCCUGGUUAAAAGCAACUCCUUUUUUCACUCGUAAGUAAAAUAUAUGCAUAAGAAUUGUCUAGCACCAAUAGGUGAUGUAAGUUGGAAUUCUCGAAGCAAGUAAAUUAAUUGGAACUCAAGAAGUUUCUUUUAUCUCAUUGUGUAUGAACUGUCAGUUUACUUUCUUUGUCGUGGUAUAUUGCAUGAGAAAAUUGUGUUUCGUCUUUGCUGCAUAAAUUGCAUUUCAUUUUGCAAUGGUUAACUAUGUCUGACAAAAUCUCCUUUAUGCUAUUUAUUCAGGCUUUUCAUUGCAGCAGUGGAAGAGCAUACCUGUUCAAUAAAGUGUGAGUGGCCUCUAACGUCAUAUUGAUAGUAUACAUUGCUAUUUCAUGAAUCUGGAUUUUUGUUUUACAAGUGAUUUAAUUUGUUGAUAAACCUGCAUCCAUUCGUGAGUGACAACUGGUGCUUUCUUUUUGGGGGUUGUACGAUACUGUAUCUGUUGUCGGGAGAAAGUGCUGUUUAAUAUGUUUGGCACAUCAUUCGGAUGCAGUUGAUAGGUGUUUCUCCUAAUUGGUUAAGUGUUACAUCACCAUUAACAACCCGUUGCGUCUAUUUUCAGUGAGUUAUAGGCAAUACGGUCAUUUUUAUUCAACAGAAUGCCAUUUGUGACCAAGUAUUUGUGGAAUGAAUGAUAUUGCCUGUCCGGACAUUUUUUUUUUGAAAUGGUAGAGGUUUUAUUAAUAAUAGUACCAAGAUGGUACAAAAAGUACAAGCCACCAAAAAGACAAGUAGCAACCCUUCUUUGUUCUUAUUAUUAUUCCUUUAAAUUUCG
rnacentral:lncRNA from 1 species